rnacentral:lncRNA from 1 species
AUUGCUAAUUAUUAUGUUUUAUUUAGGUAAGGAUGAAAAUUAAUUAAUUACAUAGGGAUGUUUUGGAGAAUAUUUUGUAAUGAUAUCAUUCAGACUUUUAGAUUAAGUAUAAAGUUAAAAAAAAUAGCUUAAUAAUUUAAUGACUUAAUGGUUAAAAUUUUUUAUUAAGUUGAAAAAACAAACAGACUUAAUGACUUAACUAAUUAAAAUUAAGUCAAUUAAGUCAUUAAGUAAAAAAAAACAAACGGCCCCUAAGUUUGGCACCUCCCAGGCAGGAGUUAAGUCGAGCUUCCUCCACCUGCAUAUUCAAACUGAAUUUAAAAAAAAAAACUGCAAAUUUUACACAAAAUAAUAAAUUAAAAUUAUUUUAAUCUACUUUCUACUGCUUAAAUUCAUUCAAUCUCUAUCAAAAUUUUAAAUUCAACAACAUAAUAAUCUCCAAAUAAAUCUAAAUAGUUUAUCAUAGUUCAUAAUCAUGAUGCUAAUUAUCGGUAUAACAUAUGAAAAUUCCAAAAUGUCUAACAACUAACAAAAUAAUUCAUAAAAGAGUCUCAAAAUACUCCAUGUAAAAUAAGUAAAUAACAACUUCAUGUUGGGCUGCUUGACGCUUGUGGCCAAUAAUCAUCAUCUAAAAUUACCUUCUUCCAAGCAAAAAUAUUACAUAAUUAUAAAUAUUAUGUAACAAAUUAACUCAGUGGUUAACAAUAACUUAAAUUUAGCUCCUAUUACAUAUGUUUAUUAUUAUAAAAAAUAAUCAUCCAAGUACAGCAUCCAAGAAAAACAAAAAGCAUGUAUAUAACACCUAACAACAACAAUAAUUUCAUCAUUUUUUUAGUAGGAAAAAAGUUAAUACCUGUUGGUUGUGAUAGCAGAGCAAUGGUGGCUGAGAAGGUGACAGUGAAGUCGACUGUGUAAACAUGGUUGUAGGCUAAGAAGGUGAGUUAUGAGGGUGGAGAAUGGAGAGAAGUCACGCACCAAGGCUAGCAACUGAGAAUUGAGAAGAGAUGAUGCAGACACGUAGAGGGACCUUCGUGGAGGUGCGACAUGGUGGCUACUGGCUCGGAGUGUUGGAGGUGCGGCAGUGGGCGCACAGGUGUGUCAUCUUGUUUCGGUGUGUACUAGGGAUUUUGGGUUUAUUUUGGAUUUUGGAUUUGUAAUUUUGUAUAAAUAUAUUCUUUCUUUUAUUCUUUUAUUUAUUAAAAAACCAAACAUAGAUUCGAGUUCUUGGUAUUUAGUGCCAUGCCCAGACAUAUUUAGAUAUUCAUUUUCAAUACUUGGGACCAGCUUAAUAGUGCAUACCUGGACCACAUUGGUCGGGAUCGGUUCGGAUCGAGUCCCGCUAGGUAUUAUUGCCACCUCUUACCCUAAUAUAGGGGUUGAAUUUUGCUAGUUAGUAUUAGCAAAACCAUUUACCGUUGAUGUAUAAGAACUUAACAAGGUGAAUAAAAGUGCAAAACAAUUUGAGGCCAAGAGCAGUAGAUUCUUCUCUCACAAGUCACAAGUGACACAUCUCCAACACAUAUACAAUGAAAUGAGUUCCACUAUUCAUUUAUAGAAACCUCUGGUAUUUUCUAUUUGUAAUCUCGUAAUUGGUUGGAUCAAUCAAGAGGCAGCAUUAGCAGUUGAUCAUUCAUUUACUUCCAAUGAAGUACACUUGAUGGAUCUAUUUGAAUUAUUGUGAACUAAAGUUGAUUAGAAUAGAUAGG